rnacentral:rRNA from 1 species
AUUCCCUUAGUAGCUGCGAGCGAACAGGGAUAAGCCCAGCACCGAAUCCCGCGGCCGAUACCGGACGCCGGGAAAUGUGGUGUUAGGGAGGAUUCAUUAUCACGAGGUUUCGUAUUGCGUCCAAGUCCUUCUUGAACGGGGCCACAGCCCAUAGAGGGUGCCAGGCCCGUAGUGACCAAUACAAAUUGCGUGAGAAUCUCUCCUUAGAGUCGGGUUGCUUGAGAGUGCAGCCCUAAGUGGGUGGUAAACUCCAUCUAAGGCUAAAUAUAACCACGAGACCGAUAGCGAACAAGUACCGUGAGGGAAAGUUGAAAAGCACUUUGAAGAGAGAGUUCAAGAGUACGUGAAACCGUUCAGGGGUAAACCUGAGAAACCCGAAAGGUCGAAAGGGGAAAUUCAUUCGUAUCUCGAUGCUGGCAUUAGGUUGUAUGUAUGACAAUGUGUUAUUUAUAAUAUGUUGCAUCUAUGAUUUAAUGAACUGGUGUCGAAUGCGUGCACUUUUCCCCAAGUAGGACGCCGCGAUUCGUUGGGUGUCGGUCUAAGGCCCAUGGUGGAGCCCAUUCCUAUAAAAUUCUCGUAGUUUUAUUGGGAAUGGACCCGUGGUGUUUCCCGGCCGGCUCGCUCGACGGUAUACAGAUGGCGCAGAGCCGCGAAAUAUUUAAUUCGCGUUCGGCCCAUGGCAAGCACGUCCUGUGUAUUGGUGUUACGGACCUAGCGCCGUACCUGAUCCUGGAUGUCUGUUGGCUAUGGUGUUCUCGAACAGACUCUGUAAUAUGAAACGCCUAUCUGCGGCGCUAUAGCUUUGGGUACUUUCAGGACCCGUCUUGAAACACGGACCAAGGAGUCUAGCAUGUGCGCGAGUCAUUGGGACAUAACUAAACCUAAAGGCGUAAUGAAAGUGAAUGUUUGUCUUGCACAAACUAAGGGAGGAUGGGUGGUUUGCCCUUAAAAGUGGCCACCCCGCACUCCCGGGGCGUCUCGUUCUUAUUGCAAGAAGAGGCGCACCAAGAGCGUACACGCUGGGACCCGAAAGAUGGUGAACUAUGCCUGGUCAGGACGAAGUCAGGGGAAACCCUGAUGGAGGUCCGUAGCGAUUCUGACGUGCAAAUCGAUCGUCGGAACUGGGUAUAGGGGCGAAAGACUAAUCGAACCAUCUAGUAGCUGGUUCCCUCCGAAGUUUCCCUCAGGAUAGCUGGCGCUCAUUGCGCACGAGUCUCAUCCGGUAAAGCGAAUGAUUAGAGGCAUUGGGGUCGAAACGACCUCAACCUAUUCUCAAACUUUAAAUGGGUGAGAUCUCCGGCUUGCUUAAAUUGUGAAGCCGUGAGAUUUCGGAUCAGAGUGCCAAGUGGGCCAUUUUUGGUAAGCAGAACUGGCGCUGUGGGAUGAACCAAACGCUGAGUUAAAGCGCCUAAAUCGACGCUUAUGGGAUACCAUGAAAGGCGUUGGUAACUUAAGACAGCAGGACGGUGGCCAUGGAAGUCGGAAUCCGCCAAGGAGUGUGUAACAACUCACCUGCCGAAGUUACUAGCCCUGAAAAUGGAUGGCGCUGAAGCGUCGUGCUUAUACUCAGCCGUCAGUGGCAUGUGCGAUUGUUAUAUUUAUUAUGAUGAUCAUGAAGCUCUGACGAGUAGGAGGGUCGCGGUGGUGUGCGCUGAAGGGCUGGUCGUGAGACCGUCUGGAGCCGCCAUCGGUGCAGAUCUUGGUGGUAGUAGCAAAUACUCCAGCGAGGCCCUGGAGGACUGACGUGGAGAAGGGUUUCGUGUGAACAGCCGUUGCACACGAGUCAGUCGAUCCUAAGCCCUAGGCGAAAGCCGAUGUUGAUGUGGUGUAUUUGUAUCGUAUUUUCAUUAUAUGUACACACCCAUUGGGCGAAAGGGAAUCCGGUUCCUAUUCCGGAACCCGGUAGCGAACCGUUUAAAAGUCGGGCCCUCGCAAGAGAGUUCGUCGGGGUAACCCAAAAGGACCCGGAGACGCCGUCGGGAGAUCCGGAAAGAGUUUUCUUUUCUGUAUGAGCGUUCGAGUUCCAUGGAAUCCUCUAGCAGGGAGAUAUGGUUUGGAACGCGAAGAGCACCGCAGUUGCAGCGGUGUCCGGAUCUUCCCCUCGGACCUUGAAAAUCCGGGAGAGGGCCACGUGGAGGUGUCGCACCGGUUCGUACCCAUAUCCGCAG